CCUACGGGUGGCAGCAGUAGGGAAUCUUUCACAAUGGGCGAAAGCCUGAUGGAGCAACGCCGCGUGCAGGAUGAAGGCCUUCGGGUUGUAAACUGCUUUUAUAAGCGAGAAAUAUGAUGGUAACUUAUGAAUAAGGAUCGUCUAACUACGUGCCAGCAGCCGCGGUCAUACGUAGGAUCCGAGCAUUAUCCGGAGUGACUGGGUGUAAAGAGUUGCGUGGGUGGCAUAAUAAGUAGCUAGUGAAAUCUGGUGGCUCAACCAUUCAGACUAUUAGCUAAACUGUUAAGCUCGAGACCGUUAGGGGUAACUGGAAUGUCUAGUGUAGGAGUGAAAUCCGUAGAUAUUAGAAAGAACACCAAUAGCGUAGGCAGGUUGCUGGGACGGUUCUGACACUAAGGCACGAAAGCGUAGGGAGCAAACGGGAUUAGAUACCCCAGUAGUC
rnacentral:rRNA from 1 species